rnacentral:lncRNA from 9 species
AUGAUUGUGUGUUUUCUCUCAGCUAGGAUGAUGGCUCAGUUCAAGGAUGAUUGGAGGAGAGAACAGUUGCAGAAUGAUGAUCUUCAAAAGAAACUCAGUAAGUAUCUCUGAUGACCUCUUUGUGUCCACAGCCUGUAUUAAACAUUCAGGUUUUUGGUUCUUUCGGCAUCCCCUCUCUUCUUCCCUAUAUGCCAUCUUUUGGCUCACAUGUCAUCUCCAUGUCUUCCCUCUCCUCCCUCAAGGUUUCUGUUUAUGGACGCCUCCCAUCCUAAGUUCUCUCCGUUUCUUUUACCCGAGACCUGAUUCCUUCUCAGUGCUUCCCACUUCAUUUCACAGGGUCCUUCCUGUAAACAUGGUCUUACUCUGGCUUCCAGAGUCUUGGCAGGUCCGUUUUGAUUUUGUGAGAAGAAGGGGAGAGACUGAUGGACAUGUGGCUUCUGUUCCACGUUUAGCUUCUGGAACACUUCCAAUAACUUAGACUCUCUGUCAUACAGCAAAGUUCAAGGGGCCAUUCUCAUGCCAUUGAUGCCUCCCCAAAGCUUAUGAAAUAAAACAAGGCUGCAAAUUUGCUGAGUGAUGUUUUCCCAAAGCUUGUCUUCUAAAGAGUGUGUAGACUCAGUUCUAAUCCAUUGAUCCAGGUGGGCUUUGGGCUCUUACUUCCAAUGCUCCCGGUCGUUUCCUGCAGUCUUUUCGCAGGUGCACAGAGAUUUUACACACCAUUUCACGGAUUUCUUUUCUUUUAUGUCAGAGCACUUCCUCUGUCUUCUUCUUGCGUGAUAUUGACAUAGUUCUUAAUUUAUCACAUUGAGACAAGCUUUAAGUGUUUGUAGACGCACUGUGUACACUAGGGAAAAUUAAUUUAUACUCUAGUUCUCCAACCUGCAAUUUUCUAUGACUGUCAUGAGAGGCUAUCGCCCUAGGAUACUCCUCGGUGUUUUUAAUGAAACACUGAUAUAAACUAAGAUAACACGGCUACGGACAGGGUUUUGGCUAGAUGGAUGCUCUUACUAUGGACUUCCUCACGACCUCAUAAGUACGGGACUCCCGUAUGUGUCCAUAUUUACACUGUAUUCUGGAAAAAGGAGAAGGCCAAGUGAGAGACAAAUGAUUGCUACUGUUUAUCCCAGAAGAAGUCCUAUUCUACUUUCCCUCACACCAUCAUUUUCUGUCUUUGUGGCUUUGCCUCAAGCGGUGAGGGGGUGGGGAGGUAAGACAACACUGCCACCGAUUCACACCAUGUCCUGUGAACAUCUGUGCUUCCAUUUCUAAAAACAUUGGUCCCUUUGAGACGUGGCCUAAGCUCAGAAAGCACUCCCCAGUUCUGUUAGCUGCCCAGCAGAGAGAGCCAAAGGGUUCUUUGGGUGGUGGUGGUGUUUUGUUUGUUUUCUACCACACUGGUAGAGUCGUUAACAACAUAAGUCUUUGCCUCUAAGGAAAUGUUCCAAUUAUGAUUCUGUUUUCAAAUGGAUAGUAUUGAGGAACAUUUCUUAACUGUCUGUAGCAGGUUUCAUAGGAUGUCUGCUAUACAUUGUUUGCACAAAUGGAUGCUUUUUCUCCUUGCUUUCUCAUCUCAUGUAUUUCCUUGGCAUGUUUCGGGGCGGGGGGGUACCUUUUAUUUGUUUGAUUUCUGAUUACAUUCAUCUUACGUAUUUACUCUGAAGUGGAAGUUUUAAUUUUAUUUUAAUUUUCUGUAUUGGUUUUCCUUGAUUCUUUCAUGAGUUUUCCAUUAUAUUUUCCAGAUCAAGUCCAGAAAGAAAUGGGUAAAUUUUUUGACAUUUUUUAACAGAUGUAGUUCUUUAAAACAUCUUUUCCCACCGUUUCUCAACAUUCCCUCCUCCCUGCUCCUGUCCGCCCUUUCGCUUCUUGUGGGUUUCACGUUACCCUAUCUUCUCUUUGACGUCCUGAGGUCCUCCCACAUCACAUUCCCUUCCCACCAUCUCUCUGGCUGUUUGUUAUUCCUUCCAGUCUCUUCCUUGCUAUACACCCAGGUGGUGUUCUACCUCCCUGGUGAUUACCCUAAUUUCAUGAUAAGGUUGGUGAGAUGAUGAAGAUUCGCUUAAGGUGAGUGUGGUCAUUGCCAUUCGAGAGAAGGCUUCCUUUCCCUUGGGUUCUCCAAGUGCUCUGAGGUGGAGUGCCUCUUGCUUUACAGAUGAUCGCGUUCUGGCUUUUAGGGGAAGCAUUCAGACUCCAAAGCUGUUGCAUGAGAUGAGUUCCUUCUUUGUUGACUGGGUAAACACUGUGUACACUGAUGUCAAGCGUACUCUUGAAACGAGCCAGUCCGCUUUGCUUGACCCUAUUCUCAAGGGAUAUUGGUAAUAGUUUUGCAUGACAAUGUGGGAUUUUUCCUUUUAAACAACAAUGAUUACUCUCCUUUCUUUUUUAUUUUAAUUCAUUUAAUAAUUACUCCAACACAUUUCUCUUCCUUCAGGUCUACACAUACACUUUUCCGUCAAUCAAAUAAACGUGAUUGACAAUAUAUUUCCGGCGUCAGUGGCUGUUUUCUAAGAUAACCCUACAUCAUUUCUGAGAGCCUAGUGCAAGAACUACAAAAUCCUCAUGUCCCGACGUAUCACGUUACAACCCUGAAACUGUAGUGAGGUUUUCAGGCGGCAUUCAUUAACUUGAGCAAUUGCAUUUCUUUGGAAAUGGACGUUACUUAGGUAGCUUUUAGACACAAAUACUGGCAAACUAAGAUAUUACCUGCAUUUCCCUUAUGAUGCUAAGAAAUCUUGUUUAGAAAUACAUGCAUGAUUGUGUGUUUUCUCUCAGCUAGGAUGAUGGCUCAGUUCAAGGAUGGUGAGUAAUGCUUAUCUCUCAGAAGUUGUCAUUCUUUUCUCUCUCUCAGAUUCUGCCCCCACAAGCAAAGGGAUGCAGAAAUAUAACAAAUAUGUUUAUAGUGGGCAAAGCAGCAUUGGAACCAUUGCCUCUGUAGAGUCCAGCACUUGGAAUAAAUUCCCUCUGAAGUGCAAACAAACCACUAGCAAUUCAGCAUGGGUUUCCUCCUCCCCCCCUUCUAUCCUUCCAUCCUCCCUCCCUUUCUUCCUUUUACCCGCCCCCCUUCCCACUCCUCCUCCACACCCCCAACCUUUGAGGUUUCUACAUUUCUGUCCUCCAUCAUGUGUGGAAGAAAUUGAAUAUGAAGCUAGAAGACAGAGAGGAGAGAAAAAAAAAAAAAGUCCAAAGAGCUCACGAAAGGAAAUGUGACAGAGACAGGGAGAAAGGGAAAACACUGGGAGAGAAAAGAUGGAAGGAAAAAACGGAAAAGGGUUUCCGAUUUUGUUCUUUUCCAACCUGGAAAAAUGCACCAUUAUACCCUGGGGAGGGACACGGACUCUGAUAAAGAAUCUCCUACGACCAAAGAUGUUUUAAAUGAACCCCUGCCGUGUGCAAAAUCAUAUGCUGAAAAAGACAGAAACUCCAAGCAUUCAUUUCAUCAACUCAACACAUUACUCCUUAUUUUCACAAGUGGUGUGUAUGGGAUAGUAAAUCUUAAUCGUUUCAUUACUUUUAAUUACACCUGACAUUGUUUUUUGAGUGUAGGCAAAAUGGUUACUGUCUGCUAAAAUCUGAGGAAACAAAAGUGAAAAAUAUGUUAUUCGAUCAAAUUUAUCAUCUCCCCUAUUGCCUCUCCAUCCUGAAGACAUUAUAAAUAGUUAUCCUGGGUGAAUGUUGGAUAAGUAGGACAUGGGGAUGGGGCAGGCCUUCUUCAGAUAUACUUUAGCAGAUCAGAAAUAGAGGCUUAGGUAUAUGAAAGAGUAUUUUCUUUGGUUGCUGUUAUUCUUGAGUUAAACCUUAGGAAUGUAUGUAUCACCACAGAAUUCUGGACAGCCAGGCUGCUUUGUCUGUCAGAUGGUAGGUUCUCAUGUUCACUUGUUCCUUGCAGAUUGGAGGAGAGAACAGUUGCAGAAUGGUGAGUCUGUGGUGGUCCAACAGAGGCCCUGCUCAUUGUGGGGGAGUCUCAGGGGAAGACGGGUGCAGGGGAGCUGCACAAAAGGGAGACCCUCUGGCCCAAGCCUACUGACCUUUCCCAGAAACGUGAUGACCACUUUUCUUUGCACUAACUCUGGCUCUGGACGCAGCCAGAUAUGAUGGCAAGUCCCAUUUUCACAUCAUUGUAUUUUUGGCAUGCUCCAUCUGUUUCUUUACCACGUGUCUUUGAUGCUCAGUGAUCAACUUUCUCAACACCAACCUACACAUAUAAACUUAUGUGUAAACGCCCACCUACAUGUAUAACGUGACAUCUUAAGGUUUUCAUUUCAUUGUUAUUUCAACUGACAUUUAUCAUCUUCGCGUGUUAUUCCUUGGAUUUUCCGUACCCUUGCUUCUCAAGCAGAAAAUUCCUUUUCACCAAAUAUAGCCUAAUAACAAUUACCUUGUAAAAUUUUGCUGUUUUUCAAGUUUCUUUGUCCAAAAUAUUUUCUGUCAUUUGACUGAGAAGCCCAUUCACUGCGAAUUAAUUUUAUGUCUUUUCCUUUCAUCUGACGUUGUGAAAGUAAACGUCAUCGAGGUAACGUUAAUAAUCAAACUCCCAUAAGAUACAGUUACGCAGUAGUCGGCGGACAGAAUGCUGUGACCAGAGGCCCCCAUCACCCUGACCUGACCUGACCUGACCUGCGUGUCCUGUAAAAGCCCUAGUUCAGGAUUCUUUAAUUCAGGGUCUCGUGGCUUUAUAGAGCAAAGCCACCACGGUAGGGACAUUGAGGCUAUUUACUAAGCACAAGUCACAC